GACGAACGCUGGCGGCGUGCUUAACACAUGCAAGUCGAACGGAAAGGCCCCUUUGGGGGUACUCGAGUGGCGAACGGGUGAGUAACACGUGAGUAACCUGCCCUUUACUUCGGGAUAACUUCAGGAAACUGGGGCUAAUACCGGAUAGGAAUCCUUGCUGCAUGGUGGGGGUUGGAAAGCUUCUGCGGUUUUGGAUGGACUCGCGGCUUAUCAGCUUGUUGGUGGGGUAGUGGCUUACCAAGGCUUUGACGGGUAGCCGGCCUGAGAGGGCGACCGGCCACAUUGGGACUGAGAUACGGCACAGACUCCUACGGGAGGCAGAAGUGGGGAAUAUUGCACAAUGGGCGGAAGCCUGAUGCAGCAACGCCGCGUGCGGGAUGACGGCCUUCGGGUUGUAAACCGCUUUCAGCAGGGGCGAAGCUUGUGGUGACGGUACCUGCAGAAGAAGCACCGGCUAACUACGUG
rnacentral:rRNA from 1 species